CCUGAACGGAGGGAAAUGUGUGGCGCCAGAUGUAUGUGAUUGCAUGUCAGGUUACCAUGGAGAGGCUUGUGAAAGCGCUCUCUGCAGUUUGCCUUGCCUGCACGGAGGCACCUGCGUGGGUCGAGACACCUGCUCAUGUCCCUAUGGCUUCGUAGGGUCCAGAUGUGAAACCAUGGUGUGCAACCGUCACUGUCAAAACGGCGGCAAGUGUGCAUCACCGGAUGAGUGCAAAUGUCUGGUGGAGUGGACGGGACCAUCGUGUG